GACGAACGCUGGCGGCGUGCUUAACACAUGCAAGUCGAACGGAAAGGCCCUGCUUUUGUGGGGUGCUCGAGUUGCGAACGGGCGAGUAACACGUGAGUAACCUGCCCUGGACUUGGGGAUAACUUCAGGAAACUGGGGCUAAUACCGGAUAGGAGCUCCUGCUGCAUGGUGGGGGUUGGAAAGUUUCGGCGGUUGGGGAUGGACUCGCGGCUUAUCAGCUUGUGGGGGGGGGAGUGGCUUACCAAGGCUUUGACGGGUAGCCGGCCUGGGAGGGUGACCGGCCACCUUGGGCCUGAGAUACGGCCCAGACUCCUACGGGAGGCAGCGGUGGGGAAUAUUGCACAAUGGGCGGAAGCCUGAUGCAGCAACGCCGCGUGCGGGAUGACGGCCUUCGGGUUGUAAACCGCUUUAGCCUGUGACGAAGCGUGAGUGACGGUAAUGGGUAAAGAAGCACCGGCUAACUACGUG
rnacentral:rRNA from 1 species